rnacentral:rRNA from 1 species
UUAAAAUGUAAUUAAAAAAGUUAGAGUAGUAUUAGUUAAUUUCUUAAAACUUAAAAAUUUUGGCGGUAUUUUAUUCUUUUUAGAGGAACUUGUUUUGUAAUCGAUAAUCCUCGUUUUAUCUUACUUAAAUUUGUUUAAUUUGUAUAUCGUUGUCAUAAGAAUAUCUUAAAGAAGAAAUAAUAUUCUAGUUUAAGAAUUUUUUAAAAUGUCAGAUCAAGGUGCAGUUUAUAUUUAAGUAGAAAUGAGUUACAAUUUUGUAAAUAAUUUUUAUGGAGUAAAGUUUUAAAUAAUUUUAUGAAAGUGGAUUUAAAAGUAAAUAUUUUUUAAUAAAGAAUGUUGAUAUUAGUUUUAAAAUAUGU